CAGCCGCCGCGGUAAUACAGAGGGUGCGAGCGUUAAUCGGAUUUACUGGGCGUAAAGCGUGCGUAGGCGGCUUCUUAAGUCGGAUGUGAAAUCCCUGAGCUUAACUUAGGAAUUGCAUUCGAUACUGGGAAGCUAGAGUAUGGGAGAGGAUGGUAGAAUUCCAGGUGUAGCGGUGAAAUGCGUAGAGAUCUGGAGGAAUACCGAUGGCGAAGGCAGCCAUCUGGCCUAAUAAUGACGCUGAGGUACGAAAGCAUGGGGAGCAAACAGGAUUAGAUACCCCAGUAGUCCCUGUCUCUUAUAC
rnacentral:rRNA from 1 species